AACGAACGCUGGCGGCAGGCUUAACACAUGCAAGUCGAACGGAUCCUUCGGGAUUAGUGGCAGACGGGUGAGUAACGCGUGGGAACGUACCCUUUGCUACGGAAUAACUCAGGGAAACUUGAGCUAAUACCGUAUGUGCCCUACGGGGGAAAGAUUUAUCGGCAAAGGAUCGGCUCGCGUUGGAUUAGCUAGUUGGUGGGGUAAUGGCCUACCAAGGCGACGAUCCAUAACUGGUCUGAGAGGAUGAUCAGCCACACUGGGACUGAGACACGGCCCAGACUCCUACGGGAGGCAGCAGUGGGGAAUAUUGGACAAUGGGCGCAAGCCUGAUCCAGCCAUGCCGCGUGAGUGAUGAAGGUCUUAGGAUUGUAAAGCUCUUUCACCGGUGAAGAUAAUGACGGUAGCCGGAGAAGAAGCCCCGGCUAACUUCGUG
rnacentral:rRNA from 1 species